UUACCCAGCAUUCCUUUCUCAUUUUUGACCCGAAAUAAGGGGAGGGGCAAAUCCCUAAUUCCCCUCUUCUUCUCCUUCUCUCCCAUCUCCGGCGGCAACCAUUGCUCGUGGGAGAGUGGCGGCAACUGCGAUGGGAAGGUGGCGACGGCGAUUCAAAGCUCGACUCGGAAGCAGCGGAAAUGGCAUUAAUGGGAAGCGAUGGCGAAAGUGACGUUUCCAGGCCGUUGCCACCUCUUCUCUUCUCCGCUGACGAUGGUGGGUGAUGGGCUUGAGAACAGCCGAGUCGCAAGGAUUCGGUAAUGAAUCCUUUCUCUAAUUUGUUGACAACUUGUUUAAAAAUGUGUUGCCGCUUGUAUUGAAUGGUAAGCUGAAUUUAAGGUACCGAAACCAUGUGUUUGUUGCUUCUGAUCCUUCGCCUUUUAUGCUGGUAAUGUUCUUCAAUUAUUGAUAGAUUGUCAUCCCUUUUCGGCUGCUCAAUGUCUUAUUUUAUGAUGGCUGCCCUCCUUUUGAGUAUCCCUUGAAUGCUUGUAUAUGUAGUGCUAUAGAUGUAUAUGUUCUGAUGCAGAUAUAGAUAGUUGAGGCGGAUUGUCUUUUUUGCGUGCAUGUGAUAGAUUUGUAGCCUCUUGAUUUCUCUUUUUGGAUUGUUGGUGACUGUGUUUGAGUAUGUGUAUGUUGUUCCCUUAUGUGUGUGUUGCUCCUGGAUUUGUUGCGGAUGGAUGUUUGAGAUAUUGUGUAUGAGAGAUUUUCUUUUUGGAUGGUUGUGUAUAUGAGAGGUGUUUAUCUCUAUUGUGUUUCUGAUUGUGUGGUGGGGAGGUAGAUGAGUGAUAUCUAUUUCUCCAUGCUCAUGUUUAAGAGUCUCUUGAGUUACUAAUUUAGAGUUAGGAGUAUUCAUGGCCUAUAAUUACCUUAAUUAUUCUGAUUUUAAUUCUUCUCAUCACUGCUUUGCUCUUUGCAACUGCACAAUAUAUCCCCUCAGUAUCCCUUUUUGUUAACAACCUAGUAUUUCCUUUGAUGUCAUCACAUUAAUGCUUUGAAGAGUAACUGUAUGAAAAAUAAUUCUGCAUAAUGCCUUGUAAUUGAAUUGAGGAGUACUGUUUCAUAUGCAUGACUUUUGAUUAGCACCUCUUAAUUGUCAUCCCUAGGUAUUUUGCUGAUUUGAUAUGGUUGAUUCUCUUUAUUCCUUCUUAAUGCUAUUUCAUUGAUGUAUCAAAGCAUAACUGAAAUGCUUUUGAUUUUUCUGCUUCUUUGGCUAAUUAAUUUUGUGACUCUUGAAGUAACCUUUUCGUAUCCAUAUUGGUUUUGUUGAGGUUAACUGUCUCCACUAACCCAUCUCAGUACCACUGAUGUUGAUGCAUAAUUCCGAGUUGGUGGAUCCAACAAGCUGGUUGUUGCGUUAUCGUAUUCAUCACAUUCAGAUGAACUCAUGAAUACUAUGGGGAUUAGCUAUCCCUUCUUAUUUCCCUGCUUAUUAGAUAUUGGAUCUUUCCAUCUUUGCAUUAUAAGUUUUCCUUGUCUGAUUUUAAUUGCAAACUUGUAGUCCUUACUUUACUUGACUUUACAUCGCUGUCGUGAGAUCUUGACAAUCAAUGUU
rnacentral:sRNA from 1 species